rnacentral:rRNA from 1 species
UACCAGCACCCCGAGUGGUCGGGACGAUUAUUGGGCCUAAAGCAUCCGUAGCCGGUCAUGCAAGUCCUCCGUUAAAUCCACCUGCUUAACAGAUGGGCUGCGGAGGAUACUACAAGGCUAGGAGGCGGAAGAGGCAAGCGGUACUCAGUGGGUAGGGGUAAAAUCCUCUGAUCCAUUGAAGACCACCAGUGGCGAAGGCGGCUUGCCAAUACGCGCUCGACGGUGAGGGAUGAAAGCUGGGGAGCAAACCGGG